GUAGGCUGAAACUCGCCUACAUGAAGCUGGAAUUGCUAGUAAUCACAGGUCAGCAUACUGUGGUGAAUACGUUCCCGGGCCUUGUACACACCGCCCGUCACACCAUGAGAGUUGAGAAUACCCGAAGCCCAUGUCAAAGUGGUCGAAGGUAGGCUUGAUGAUUGGGUGAAGUCGUAACAAGGUAAC
rnacentral:rRNA from 1 species